rnacentral:rRNA from 1 species
CAGUCGCCGCGGGAAUACAGAGGGUGCAAGCGUUAAUCGGAAUUACUGGGCGUAAAGCGCGCGUAGGUGGUUCGCCAAGUUGGAUGUGAAAUCCCCGGGCUCAACCUGGGAACUGCAUCCAAAACUGGCGAGCUAGAGUAUGGUAGAGGGUGGUGGAAUUUCCUGUGUAGCGGUGAAAUGCGUAGAUAUAGGAAGGAACAUCAGUGGCAAAGGCGACCACCUGGACUGAUACUGACACUGAGGUGCGAAAGCGUGGGGAGCAAACAGGAUUAGAUACCCCCGUAGUCCCUGUCUCUUAUAC